rnacentral:rRNA from 1 species
CCUACGGGAGGCAGCAGUGAGGAAUAUUGGACAAUGGCCGGAAGGCUGAACCAGCCAUUCCGCGUGAAGGUCAGUGCCCUUUGGGCGUUAAACUUCUUUUGUGCGGGAGCAAUAAUGGUCACGUGUGGCCAGACGAGAGUACCGUACGAAUAAGCAUCGGCUAAAUCCGUGCAAGCAGCCGCGGUAAUACGGGGGAUGCAAGCGUUAUCCGGAUUUAUUGGGUUUAAGGGGUGCGUAGGCUGUGAGGUAAGUCAGCGGUGAAAUGCCCCCGCUCAACGGGGUGAAGUGCCAUUGAUACUGCCUUGCUGGAAUGCGGAUGCGGUGGGAGGAAUGUGUGGUGUAGCGGUGAAAUGCAUAGAUAUCACACAGAACACCGAUUGCGAAGGCAUCUCACGAAUCCGCGAUUGACGCUGAGGCACGAAAGCGUGGGGAUCAAACAGGAUUAGAUACCCCAGUAGUC